CCGCACCGGAAGGCAGGAGCGACGCCGUCGGGCCACCCUCUGCUCCGCACCUCGCGGCGUCGGAGGAGGCCGCCGCCUUCGCGAGGGUCCCUGGGCGCUGCUAUUGAGCGGCCGUUUCUCAGCGGCGCAUUUGCUCUGCUCGUUCACGAAUGGUCCCACACCUGCUGGUUCGGUCGACCAUCCUGCUGGCUCAUCUGACGAGAGGUCGUUGUUUGUGUUUCCGUGCACACAGGCCUCGGCAUCGCCGUUGCUGGCGAGCAUCCUCGAGCGCCACCUGCACAAGGACAGGGAGAGUGGCAAGGCUGUCCGGCCCGUUGAUCCGCGGCCUCCACCUUGACGCCAGCAAAUUUUGUAGCGAUGGCAGGUUCCGUUGCCCGACCCUGAGGAGAUCUAUUAUCUAUUUGAAAUUCUUAAUUUUGGGAGCUGCUUGUGGCCGAUGGUUCUGGGCUCUCUGCCCUUCCUGUCAUCAGCAGCUCAGUGGGCACCUCCGCUGCCAUCCGGUUUGGAUCAAUAAGGUAUGCAGACAUCAGAUUUGGAAUUGACAUAAUUUUGUGGCUGAUCUGAUUUGGAUUAAUGGCGUUCGUGAGUUUCCCUUGGAUCUCUGUAGGUUAGAUUAAUGGUGUUGUCUGUGUUCUCUCUACAAUGGCCAUUAUAGCUCGUGUAUAAAGCUCUUGACAGGUUUGAGAAAGCACAUCACAAGCAAAUUUGAUGUGCUAAUAUUGUAAGUUGCCUCCCUGGUUGUGUAAACACUUUUGUAUAGGCUCCCUGGAUCAUGCCAGCAUUGGUUGUUUGCAGCCAUAUGUCCGAGACAAACAACUCAGUUUGUUUAACUUCUUGCAUCCUUCAUGAAUAAAUUUGUCCAAGGUAGUAGGAGCUUACUGCAAACUCUAUGUCUCCACCGUAGGCCUGAGUUAAAUAUAUGGUCUUGACUCUUGAUACAAUAGAGAAAGGCUCAACCAUAUAUUUGCGAGAUACAAAAGGCACUAUAUGGCAAUGACAACAACUAGAUUUGCGAGGAUUUCAGUGGCCUUCUCGACCACCCUCAAUGCAUGCAGGUUAUCAAGUAUGGGAGAUGCUAGCUAGGAAGCCAUUUGGUGUCCUGUCCAAUGUCCACAAACAAGGUAUUGCUGAAUCUCAUCAUCGUGUGUGCAAACUCCAGGUUCAUAUGUGCAGUUAGUUCAGGAAGCGCCCAUGGCAAAAAUUGUAUUACACAAAUCCAAACUAUAUAACCAGCGAUUUGUGGGUUUUCUUUGCAGAAGUUAAGGCAAUACCAGGAGAAACACCUGGUUCCUCAAUAUUUCCAUUCAUUGUUUCAAUUAACUGAUAUUUAAUCAGAUUGGAGAAAUUGGAUUAGAGUAGGCAUAUAGGAGGUUGAUCAGCUAGCAAGGAAUACCUUAUCUGAUCCACUAUUCAAGGUACUUUGUCCUGCUUAUGGUUUCGAAUAGAUUUGUCUGAUCCUUUUCUAAUGUACAGUUAUUUUCUAUGCUCUGAUCCUUUUCUAAUGUAUCUUCUGCUAGAGUGACAUGGAUUUUGUUUUCAUGAGUUGUAUAUACUAUCCCUGAAAUUUUCACGUCACUAGAAAGAUAGCAAACAUAUGAAGCAUCAGGCUCACCUUCUGCAUUCGAUUGUCAUGAUGUAUAUUCUUUUUUAUCAGUGUUAUAAGUAGAAAACUAUCAACAGGAAGGGUUACUCGUGGUGGAUAAUAGUGAUGCUUCGAUUUAUACUUCCUGGAGAAAGGAUGAUUAAUGUUAAGGGCCAUUUGGUUUUGUUCUCUUCAAGACCACUUGGAGUAUGGAUGCGAGUGCAGCGCACUCUUAACCAAGUGAUUGACUCUUUCUGGAGGGGUUGUGACGAUGGAGAUUGGAGGGUUGUGUGCUCAUCGAUGGGCGAGAAUAGAUGGAUGGCGGCGGGUGGCACUGGUGGAGAGAGGCACCAUUAUGUGUUGCAAAUAAUAGCUGAUCUGUUUUUUUUAAUUAUUCAACCAAUCAUAUGACACUGAAUCUCUUUUGUGCUCUGCAAAUUGACCAAGACCAGGAAGAGAUUGCUUAUACCACGAAUUUGUUACAACUGGUGUGUUUGUUGUUUUUCAAGUUAGCAUGGCUCUGAACAUCUCAAGCACGUGCCUGUGAUCUGUGGCACGUGCACAUCCAUGUGCCAUCAUAAAUCCAUUAUAGUAUACAAUGUCUCUUUGCUUUUUAUUGUUUCAAGUUAAAGCAUGUGCUAGCACGCACACUUUGCUGUACAAAGGGGGAAUAAAGGCACCUGCAAUUGGUGUACAAGGGGGAAGACCCUGCAAUCAAAGGAUGAGAGCAUAGCUUAAGAAGAAAAGUUUGUUUACGAGGAGCCACAUGAAGACCUUUUUUUAAUAUGUUGCUGUGGAAAAAAGAAUUUUUCGCUCUUGAAACAAGAGGUGUUUCAUGAGUUCCCGUUCAAAUCUCUAGGAGAAAUUGAUUUCAAUGUGGCAUCAAAUUCUGAAGGUCAAAGAGCAUUAUUAGAAGAUAUUGAUAUGAAUCUAGAACUAUAAGAAGUGGAUGCUGAAUUUUCUAUCAGUAAUAUUUUCAUUAGAUGUAUCAUUAGAGAGCAUUGUACAAUUAUUUGAUUCUUGUUAUGUUGAAUGCUUUUAAAAUAUCAGUAGAGAGUCUGUCUAUAAGUAGGAUCCUUUUUACAUCUCCAAGCAUUCAUUGAUGUUUUUGAA